UUUUUGGAGAGUUUGAUCUUGGCUCAGGACGAACGCUGGCGGCGUGCCUAAUACAUGCAAGUCGAGCGCUGGAAACUAAUUUCAUCCCUUCGGGAUGAAAUUAGUGGAAAGAGCGGCGGACGGGUGAGUAACACGUGGGCAACCUACCUGUAAGACUGGGAUAACUCGCGGAAACGUGAGCUAAUACCGGAUAAUACUUUUUAUUGCAUAAUAAGAAGUUUGAAAGACGGCGUAAGCUGUCACUUAUAGAUGGGCCCGCGGCGCAUUAGCUAGUUGGUGAGGUAAAGGCUCACCAAGGCAACGAUGCGUAGCCGACCUGAGAGGGUGAUCGGCCACACUGGGACUGAGACACGGCCCAGACUCCUACGGGAGGCAGCAGUAGGGAAUCUUCCGCAAUGGACGAAAGUCUGACGGAGCAACGCCGCGUGAGUGAAGAAGGUUUUCGGAUCGUAAAA
rnacentral:rRNA from 1 species